GAUGAACGCUGGCGGCGUGCCUAAUACAUGCAAGUAGAACGCUGAAGGAAGGAGCUUGCUCUUUCCGGAUGAGUUGCGAACGGGUGAGUAACGCGUAGGUAACCUGCCUGGUAGCGGGGGAUAACUAUUGGAAACGAUAGCUAAUACCGCAUAACAGUAGAUGUUGCAUGAUAUCUACUUAAAAGGUGCAAUUGCACCACUACCAGAUGGACCUGCGUUGUAUUAGCUAGUUGGUGAGGUAACGGCUCACCAGGGCGACGAUACAUAGCCGACCUGAGAGGGUGAUCGGCCACACUGGGACUGAGACACGGCCCAGACUCCUACGGGAGGCAGCAGUAGGGAAUCUUCGGCAAUAGACGGAAGUCUGACCGAGCAACGCCGCGUGAGUGAAGAAGGUUUUCGGAUCGUAAAGCUCUGUUGUAAGAGAAGAACGAGUGUGAGAGUGGAAAGUUCACACUGUGACGGUAUCUUACCAGAAAGGGACGGCUAACUACGUG
rnacentral:rRNA from 1 species